AUUGAACGCUGGCGGCAUGCUUUACACAUGCAAGUCGAACGGUAACAGGCCUUCGGGUGCUGACGAGUGGCGAACGGGUGAGUAAUGCAUCGGAACGUGCCCAGAGGUGGGGGAUAACGCAGCGAAAGCUGUGCUAAUACCGCAUGUGAUCUGAGGAUGAAAGCGGGGGACCAAGCAGCAAUGUUUGGCCUCGCGCCUCUGGAGCGGCCGAUGUCAGAUUAGGUAGUUGGUGGGGUAAAGGCCUACCACGCCGACGAUCUGUAGCUGGUCUGAGAGGACGACCAGCCACACUGGGACUGAGACACGGCCCAGACUCCUACGGGAGGCAGCAGUGGGGAAUUUUGGACAAUGGGCGCAAGCCUGAUCCAGCAAUGCCGCGUGCGGGAAGAAGGCCUUCGGGUUGUAAACCGCUUUUGUACGGAACGAAAAGGCUCUGGCUAAUACCUGGGGCUGAUGACGGUACCGUAAGAAUAAGCACCGGCUAACUACGUG
rnacentral:rRNA from 1 species